rnacentral:sRNA from 1 species
AUGAUGUCAUGUGUAUGAGUGAGUAUAAAAACUAGAACCGCAACGGAUCUUAAAAGCCUAAAUAUUGUAUCCUUGUUAGAAGAUACAUAGACAAAGACUCAUACGGAAUUCGGCUAAACCAUCAAAGCUUUUAGAAGCAAGAAGAAGCUUGGUUAGUGUUUUGGAGUGAAAUAUGACUAGAUGUCAUGUGUAUGGGUGAGUAUACCAUCUAGAACCGCAAUUGGAAUUUUAAAAGCCUAAGUAUUGUAUCCUUGUUAGAACAUACAAAGACAAACACUCAUACGGACUUUGGCUACACCAUCAAAGCUUUGAGAAGCAAGAAGAAGCUUGGUUAGUGUUUUGGAGUCGAAUAUUACUUGAUGCCAUGUGUAUGACUCAAUAUAAAAACUAGAACCGCAACAGAUCUUAAAAGCAUAAGUAUUGUAUCAUUGUUAGAAGAUACAACGACAAAGACUCAUAUGGACUUCGGCUACACCAUCAAAGCUUUGAGAAGCAAGAAGCAGCUUGGUUAGUGGUUCGGAGUCGAAUAUGACUUGAUGUCAUGUGUAUGAGUGAGUAUAAAAACUAGAACCGCAACGGAUCUUAAAAGCCUAAAUAUUGUAUCCUUGUUAGAAGAUACAUAGACAAAGACUCAUACGGAAUUCGGCUAAACCAUCAAAGCUUUUAGAAGCAAGAAGAAGCUUGGUUAGUGUUUUGGAGUGAAAUAUGACUAGCUGUCAUGUGUAUGAGUGAGUAUACCAUCUAGAACCGCAAUUGGAAUUUUAAAAGCCUAAGUAUUGUAUCCUUGUUAGAAGAUACAAAGACAAACACUCAUACGGACUUUGGCUACACCAUCAAAGCUUUGAGAAGCAAGAAAAAGCUUGGUUAGUGUUUUCGAGUCAAAUAUGACUAGAUGUGAUGUGUAUGAUUGAGUAUAAGAAAUUAAACCGCAACCGGAUCUUAAAAGCCUAAGUAGUGUUUCCUUGUUAGAAGAUACAAAGGCAAAGCCUCAUACAGACUUUAGCUAUACCAUCAAAGCCUUGAGAAGCAAGAAGAAGCUUGGUUAGUGUUUUGGAGUCAAAUAUUACUAGAUGUCAUGUGUAUGAGUGAGUAUGACAACUAGAACCAUAACCGGAUCUUAAAAACCUAAGUACUGAAUCUUUAUUAGAAGAUAUAAAGACAAAGACUCAUACGGACUUCGACUACACUAACAAAGCUUUGAGAAGCAAGAAGAAGCUUUGUUAGUGUUUUGGAUUCUAAUAUGACUUGAUGUCAUGUAUAUGACUCAGUAUAAAAACUAGAACCGCAACAGAUCUUAAAAGCAUAAGUAUUGUAUCAUUGUUAGAAGAUACAAUGACGAAGACUCAUAUGGACUUCGUCUACACCAUCAAAACUUUGAGAAGCAAGAAGCAGCUUGGUUAGUGUUUUGGAGUCGAAUAUGACUUGAUGUCAUGUGUAUGAGUGAGUAUAAAAACUAGAACCGCAACGGAUUUUAAAAGCCUAAAUAUUGUAUCCUUGUUAGAAGAUACAUAGACAAAGACUCAUACGGUAUUCGGCUAAACCAUCAAAGCUUUUAGAAGCAAGAAGAAGCUUGGUUAGUGUUUUGGAGUGAAAUAUGACUAGAUGUCAUGUGUAUGGGUGAGUAUACCAUCUAGAACCGCAAUUGGAAUUUUAAAAGCCUAAGUAUUGUAUCCUUGUUAGAAGAUACAAAGACAAACACUCAUACGGACUUUGGCUACACCAUCAAAGCUUUGAGAAGCAAGAAGAAGCUUGGUUAGUGUUUUCGAGUCGAAUAUGACUAGAUGUGAUGUGUAUGAUUGAGUAUAAGAAAUUAAACCGCAACCGGAUCUAAAAAGCCUAAGUAGUGUUUCCUUGUUAGAAGAUACAAAGGCAAAGCCUCAUACAGACUUUAGCUAUACCAUUAAAGCCUUGAGAAGCAAGAAGAAGCUUGGUUAGUGUUUUGGAGUCAAAUAUUACUAGAUGUCAUGUGUAUGAGUGAGUAUGACAACUAGAACCAUAACCGGAUCUUAAAAACCUAAGUACUGAAUCUUUAUUAGAAGAUAUAAAGACAAAGACUCAUACGGACUUCGACUACACUAACAAAGCUUUGAGAAGCAAGAAGAAGCUUUGUUAGUGUUUUGGAUUCUAAUAUGACUUGAUGUCAUGUGUAUGACUCAGUAUAAAAACUAGAACCGCAACAGAUCUUAAAAGCAUAAGUAUUGUAUCAUUGUUAGAAGAUACAAUGACGAAGACUCAUAUGGACUUCGGCUACACCAUCAAAACUUUGAGAAGCAAGAAGCAGCUUGGUUAGUGUUUUGGAGUCGAAUAUGACUUGAUGUCAUGUGUAUGAGUGAGUAUAAAAACUAGAACCGCAACGGAUUUUAAAAGCCUAAAUAUUGUAUCAUUGUUAGAAGAUACAUAGACAAAGACUCAUACGGUAUUCGGCUAAACCAUCAAAGCUUUUAGAAGCACGAAGAAGCUUGGUUAGUGUUUUGGAGUGAAAUAUGAGUAGAUGUCAUGUGUAUGGGUGAGUAUACCAUCUAGAACCGCAAUUGGAAUUUUAAAAGCCUAAGUAUUGUAUCCUUGUUAGAAGAUACAAAGACAAACACUCAUACGGACUUUGGCUACACCAUCAAAGCUUUGAGAAGCAAGAAGAAGCUUGGUUAGUGUUUUCGAGUCGAAUAUGACUAGAUGUGAUGUGUAUGAUUGAGUAUAAGAAAUUAAACCGCAACCGGAUCUAAAAAGCCUAAGUAGUGUUUCCUUGUUAGAAGAUACAAAGGCAAAGCCUCAUACAGACUUUAGCUAUACCAUUAAAGCCUUGAGAAGCAAGAAGAAGCUUGGUUAGUGUUUUGGAGUCAAAUAUUACUAGAUGUCAUGUGUAUGAGUGAGUAUGACAACUAGAACCAUAACCGGAUCUGAAAAAC